UUUCCGUAGGUGAACCUGCGGAAGGAUCAUUACCGAGUGCAGGUCUGCCCCCGGGCAGGCCUAACCUCCCACCCGUGAAUACCUGACCAACGUUGCUUCGGCGGUGCGCCCCCCCGGGGGUAGCCGCCGGAGACCACACCGAACCUCCUGUCUUUAGUGUUGUCUGAGCUUGAUAGCAAACCUAUUAAAACUUUCAACAAUGGAUCUCUUGGUUCCGGCAUCGAUGAAGAACGCAGCGAACUGCGAUAAGUAAUGUGAAUUGCAGAAUUCAGUGAAUCAUCGAGUCUUUGAACGCACAUUGCGCCCCCUGGCAUUCCGGGGGGCAUGCCUGUCCGAGCGUCAUUGCUGCCCUUCAAGCCCGGCUUGUGUGUUGGGUCGUCGUCCCCCCCGGGGGACGGGCCCGAAAGGCAGCGGCGGCACCGCGUCCGGUCCUCGAGCGUAUGGGGCUUUGUCACCCGCUCGAUUAGGGCCGGCCGGGCGCCAGCCGGCGUCUCCAACCUUCUAUUUUACCAGGUUGACCUCGGAUCAGGUAGGGAUACCCGCUGAACUUAA
rnacentral:rRNA from 1 species